rnacentral:lncRNA from 1 species
GCCACACCUGCAGCAUAUGGAGGUUCCAGUCUAGGGGUCUAAUCGGAGCUAUAGCUGCCAGCCUACUGCCACAGCCACAGCAAUGCCAGAUCCGAGCCAUGUCUGCAACCUACACCACAGCUCACAGCAACGUUGGAUCCUUAACCCACUGAGUGAGGCCAGGGAUCAAACCUACAACCUCAUGGUUCCCAGUCGGAUUUGUUUCUGCUGCACCACGAUGGGAACUCCCUUAAAUUCAAGUCUUAGUGAUGUAGAGGAAGUGGAGGAGGUACAUACAGGCUCAGAGCAGUUAGAAAGGAGGAAGAUCCAGGACAAUGUGGGUUCUUAGAAGUCUGUGGAGGAAAUUAAGGCAAAGGCCUCAUUGAUUAAGAAACAUAAGAAGCUGGAGAGGCCAUAGGAGAGCAAUCCUAGGGUGACUGCAUUUGAUUACUCUCUUCUUUUAGUGGUGGACACUAGAAGCUAUGGCUUGACAUACUUAGAGUCAGUGGAUCCAGAGCUCCUAGCACACAAGAUUUCUGCCAUUGCUUAAUCUUGUGUUUCCUGGGCCCUAGAUCUGAAACCAUAAAAUGUGUAGUAUUUAUUUAGUAUUAGACCAUGUUCUGAGAAUGCUUUUUCUGGAGCUGUUUUGAGACCACAGAAUUGAAAAAGUUCAUGAGAUGAAAUGCUAGCCCUGUACCCAGGUUGGCCUGUCAUUCUUUCCAUUUAAAGCCACUGGUAAUAUGGUUGCAAGAUGUAUUUUCCCCAUUUUUUAAAAGCCAUUUUCUAUGUUCUACUUUCCAACCACCAAAAUAUGUUGGGAGUGUCAUAAUUGUUUUUCUCUUUGGAACUUUACAAAAUAUUGUUUUUAUAAUAGAAAUAGCAUUUCUUUAAUUUUUUUUCUUUUUUUAAUCGCCAAAGGCUGCCAUACCAAACCACGGACUUGGCUCAUUAUAUUUCCAAUUCUAGGUUGUGCUAGAAUUUCUGGCAAAUGAGUGUUGUAGGACUGCCCAAAAUAUUUCUGAGGAGGUUUAUCUCAGAGGAUAGUCAGCCUCAUGGACUUAGAUGCAUUAAUUCAGGUAAAGCACUUAGAAUAGGGUCUUGCACAUAGUAAGCAUAUAUAAAUGCUGGUUAUUAUUAUUAGGGCAUUCUAAGAUGAUUUAGUAUCAGAGACCAGAAUAGACCAAGAAAACCAUCUAUUUUUAUGAUAGGAUGAGUGCUCCUUAAGGAUCCAAAACAAGGAUUAUUAGAGUUUAGAAGACUUCCAAGGAGCUGUUAAAAGAUGGCUGUGCACCAUGGGUGAUAAGAUAAGUGUGUAAAGAGGUUGGCCAGUUGGCAGUUGGGUACACUUAAGUAUAAAAUGUAUCAUGCAGUGGAAAGUGAAGGAGUUUGGGAUUAUCCAAAGUUGUAGAAUUCACAGAUUUUGAAAGUAGUGCAACCAUAGUUGAAAUAUAAAGGUGCUUAAAGUUAGCAUAGAAAGAAAAUAUUGAGAUGCUGAAAAGAGCAUAAUGUUCAGGCAUUUAGAAGUUGUCAAAAAUAUGGAGAGAUAUAAGUGACCCCCUAUUCAUGGUUUUUUUUCUCUUCACUUACUUGUUUUCAAGUUCUCCAAGUUCUCUUGCAAUAGAGCAAUGUGAUUGGACAUUUAUGAAUAUAGUUUCUGCAAUAAGUAAAUAAUUUAAACCUAUUUGUAUAAGCAUUUGCUCCAAGACAUGAAAAUCACUAUAAUUGAAGUUUUUUGUGUUAAUAAUAAACUUAUCUAUCAUUCAUAUCUUUGCUAAAAGUAGGAGGAGUGUAUCAUGGGAUGUGAGGUAUGAGAUAAAAGGAACACAGAGGGUGACCUCCCAAAAUUUACAUGCUAAUGAUGUCCAUUCUGAUCAAUGAAAGAAUAUUUCUAAGGGUCUUAGAAGAGAGUUAGAAGACUAGGCAAGUGUUGAGUAAAAACUAAGGGAACGGGGCAAGAAUAGAUGGGAUGUUUUUGAUUUAGUGAAAUUUCCCUGCAGACUCACUCUACACCAACACAUGACUUAGACUAAAAUAUUGGUGAUAAGAAAAUAAACAGCAUCCACCAAACCUGCUCAAUCCCUUACCCAGGACUCUAGCAGUCUCAAUGAUCCAAUUCCUAGGCUAGAAUCCCACAAAAGAUGUAGGCAGUUCUCAUGGAGAAUGGUCAUAGCCCAUCCCUUUGAAACAACCCCUAUGCCCCAUUAUCUUCAUCAUAUAUCUUAAUGGAUAGUAAAGACUUUUUUUUAAAGAAUAUUAUGAAUAUAUUAUAAGACCUACCAUAUUCAAAGAUAAGAACAUCCAAAAAUCCCUAGGGACAGGACAAAGAAAACAGUAUUUAAUGAAGAAUAUUCAUGUGAAGAAUUUGGAAGAUGAGGUUAUAAUCGUAGGUCAUGACCUACUUAUAGAGGACCUUGGAAGCUUAGAAAUUAAAGCUCAGAGUUUCUCCUCUUGGCAUGGGGAAGGAGAGAAAUAUUUUUGAGAUAGAAGGGGGAUAAAAUAUUAAAAGAUAUAUUUCAGAAAGAAUACUCCUCUGUUAGGUAGUGUGGAGAAUAGGCCAGAGUGGGUAGGACAACUCAAGACCAGAAAAGAGAAAACAGGUUGAUGUUAUUACCAUGGGUCACACACAAGGGCCUGGAUACUGUGGGAACAUGAGAUUAGAAACAGGAGAGGACUUCUUAAACUAAAAUUACAUUGGUGUUUUUCAUUAUUUUUUUUCAUUUUUUAUUGUGGAAAUGAUUCAAUUGUACAACAGUAGAGAAAACUGUACAGUUUCUCAGGUAUCUAACCAAUAAUUAUCAAUAUUUUGCUAAGCUUGUUUCAUUUAUCUCUUCCUACAACUGUUUCUACAUGUGUUUAACUUUUUUUCUUUUGAAAUUGUUUCAGACUCACCAAAAAAUUGCAAAAAUAAUACCAAAAAUUCUUAUAUACAGUUCCACCAAAUUUCCCAAAUGUUAAUAUUUUGCCACAUUUACUUAUUUCUCCCUCUCUCUCCCUCCCUCCCUCACUCCCCCCGCCCAACUCUCUCCCUUCCUUCAUCCUUAUUGGUCUCACUCUCUCUAUCAUAUUGGUGCUACAGUUGUCCAAGAUUUUGCCAGUAGGGGCCCCCUGCAAGCUGGAUUCUAGGUGCUACUGACAUUCCUCCAUCAUUCUUUGUUUCUUUUCUGACACAAUACAGUGUUCUAGGCUCAUGUUAUGACUUUCCAUGCUUUAAGUGUGGAAUCAAACAUUCAUUAGGACUCUGUUCCAUUCAUUGAAGAAUGAUAUUAAGAAAAAUAAGCAUUAGAAAUGUUAGAAAUCCAUGUAUAUCUAUUUCUAUAUAAAAAAUUAGGAGUUCUUACUGAUAACUCCAACUCCAAUCCCAAUGCCACAGGGCUCUUUCCAGCCUUACCUUUUUUGGAAAUACAGUUUCAUUUCCCAACAAUGAGAACACUGACUCUUAUCCACAAUGUAGAUAAAAUCAAACUUUUAUAAGUUACCCGUAGGACUUUAUAGAAUAAUCCUGAACUUACCCAUAGCUCUCUCUCAUUUCAACCUAGUACACUUAGUCUCAGCAAGGAAAAGGAGGAAAAAUGCGUACAACAAGCAAUAGUUUGAUGUAUACACUCCUCUACAUUUCUAAACACAAAGGCAAACACAGGGUAAAAUGAUGUUUCCAGGGCAGUUAAGGACUAGAAACCUCACAUGUGUCCUUGGAUGGGAGUUUAUUUUCUCAGACUAAGUCUGGGCUUGACAUUCCAGCUACUCGCCCUUCCACAGCAAAUGGAUAUGGAGAAGUCUGCCACCAGCCACUGAUGGAAAAAACAGCUGUCCUUAGAGGGGAGAAGCCACGGAGGUGGUUGGAUGUCCUCUCCACUCCCCCCGCAUCUUCUCCCCCUCCUGCAAAUACAGCAUGCACACAUCUGCAUGUAAAUAAAGGGGAAAAGGCUCUCUUGUUUGUUGCUACAAAAUCCAAUUGGGAGUAAGAAAAUCUCCCUUAAGUAAAUUCUUUAGCCAGAGUUUUCCUUUAGGUGGUGAUUUGCAUGAAUGCUAAUUCAAGCAUUAUUAUCUCGAUUAUUUGUGAGUUAUUGCCUGUGUGGAUUUGUUGUUUCCUAAGAAGCUGGAUGAUUAAGCACAUGGCCUGGAUGAGCUGACUGCCACUUUAUUUCAGUAUAUUUGCCUAGAGAGGCUUAUUUUCAUUUAUUUGAACAAUGCUUAUUAAACAUUUUCUAUGUGUCAGACACUGUGUUAGGCACUUGAAAUAUAGGCAUGGAUCUGAAACUUAGGGAAUCCACCAGGAAUGGAAGUCUAGUCACCAGGAAUGGAAGUCUAGUCACCAGGAAUGGAAGUCUAGUCACCAGGAACGGAAGGGUAAACCUUUUCUGGUCGCCUUAAAAGAGCCAUCUGAAAUGGUAUGAUUCAGAUGACUCUUAGCAGCUUUCUCUAAGCUUUGACUAGCUACCUGACAUCUCUUAUGAUGCCUCAAGUUCCAUCAUUAGUGCUGCUUUUGAUUCCUUCCAAAAGGCUUUGUAUCCCUAUAGAAUUUCAUAUUAUAAAAUAAAUACUUUUCCCUAGUAGGAUAUUUAUCUAAAAUCACUAUAGAGAUAAUAUACUAAUGGAAUUACUUAGCAGUAAAGAGGACUUAUGUGUAGAAAUGCAUAAGAAAGGGAGGUCCAUUAGAAGGAGACGGCAGAGGAACCUAGCAAACACCAAUACCAAUAUCAUAGUUUUCUAUCUACAAGACCCCAAGUCAACUGAGAACAACAAUUGAUACCUAUUAAAAUAUUUUCUAUGACCCAAAAUAUAUGCUUUGUUUUGUCACUCUAUGAAAGAAGAUAAUAUGAAGUCAACUACAGUAAAAUGAAAGCAGAUCUCAAAGUUAGAUCCAGGUAGUCUUCCACAUAUGAUUUAAAAGGGAUUGCUUUUCAUAUACUUUUAUACUUUCAAAUAAUUUUUAUUGCAAAGUGAUGUUCAAAGAAUUAUUUGACAAUAAAAUAUCACUCU